UCAUAGGGUCUCGGGGGGUCACACGUUUACUGAGUCCAACCACCGGUCAGGGUAACAAACCAAGUGUGAAUGCCUGCGCUCUGUAAAAAGCCCUCUAACCUUGGGUUUGGUCCUCGGCCUCAGCUGCUCCAGUUUCUUGGCAGCUGCUUCAAUGGCCGCCGCCGCUCCCAGCAGCUCAUUCUCUGCGAUGACAGUCGGAUCCUCCGGGUCCACCCACUCCGUGCCUGCAGCGCACGACAACAAUACUGGUUCACUCUGGUGCAUCAACACAAUGGGGAUUCAAACUCUGGCCAACGAUGCACAAGCCUGGAAAGAGAGCCGAGGCUUUUCUCUGCCAAACAUCCGUCCGCUGAGACACGGAGGAGGCCGACUAAACCGGCAGCUCCGGUUAACUUGUAAAGGUCAAAGAUGAAGAUACCUUUCAUAGCCUCGGCAGCCUGGAUGAGCUCGGUGACGCUGCCCGCCACACGCUUGGAGUAGGUGGCCAACUGCUGCUUCAGAUCAUGAGUGGGUUUCUGGAUGAUCUGUGGAUGAAAGGAAAAUAAAAUAUUACUUAUUGUCAUCAGUCUGA